GACGAACGCUGGCGGCGUGCUUAACACAUGCGAGUCGAACGGAAAGGCCCUGCUUUUGUGGGGUGCUCGAGUGGCGAACGGGUGAGUAACACGUGAGUAACCUGCCCUUGACUUUGGGAUAACUUCAGGAAACUGGGGCUAAUACCGGAUAGGAGCUCCUGCUGCAUGGUGGGGGUUGGAAAGUUUCGGCGGUUGGGGAUGGACUCGCGGCUUAUCAGCUUGUUGGUGGGGUAGUGGCUUACCAAGGCUUUGACGGGUAGCCGGCCUGAGAGGGUGACCGGCCAGGGGGGUACGGCCGUCGGCCCAAGCCGCGUGGGGGGGGGAGCAGUGGGAUAUAUGGCGCGGUGGGUGGCAGCCUGCGGCAGCCGCGCGGCGUGCGUGCGGGCGGCCUGCGGUGUGUCAACCGCUUCCGCUGGGGACGGGGCGUGAGCGCCGGUAGUGGGUAAAGAAGCACCGGCAAACGACGGGCCAGCAGCCGCGGUAAUAAGGGGAAGAGCCCUCGUCAGUAC
rnacentral:rRNA from 1 species